rnacentral:rRNA from 1 species
GUGAGAUACCGUCAUAACGAUGAAGCUUCUAGCUUGCUAGGCGGAUUAGUGGCGCACGGGUGAGUAACGCAUAGAUGACAUGCCCUUUAGUUUGGGAUAGCCACUAGAAAUGGUGAUUAAUACCAAAUACCACCCUACGGGGGAAAGAUUCAUCGCUAAAGGAUUGGUCUAUGUCCUAUCAGCUUGUUGGCGGGGUAAGAGCCCACCAAGGCAAUGACGGGUAUCCGGCCUGAGAGGGUGAACGGACACACUGGAACUGAGACACGGUCCAGACUCCUACGGGAGGCAGCAGUAGGGAAUAUUGCUCAAUGGGCGCAAGCCUGAAGCAGCAACGCCGCGUGGAGGAUGAAGGUUUUAGGAUUGUAAACUCCUUUUGUGAGAGAAGAUAAUGACGGUAUCUCACGAAUA